AACGAACGCUGGCGGCAUGCCUAACACAUGCAAGUCGAACGAGACCUUCGGGUCUAGUGGCGCACGGGUGCGUAACGCGUGGGAACCUGCCCUUAGGUUCGGAAUAACUCCCCGAAAGGGGUGCUAAUACCGGAUAAUGUCUUCGGACCAAAGAUUUAUCGCCUUUGGAUGGGCCCGCGUUGGAUUAGCUAGUUGGUAGGGUAAAAGCCUACCAAGGCGACGAUCCAUAGCUGGUCUGAGAGGAUGAUCAGCCACACUGGGACUGAGACACGGCCCAGACUCCUGCGGGAGGCAGCAGUGGGGAAUAUUGGACAAGGGGCAAAAGCCUGACCCAGCAAGGCCGCGGGAGUGAUGAAGCCCUUAGGGUUGAAAAGCUCUUUUCCCCGGGAUGAUAAUGACAGUCCCGGGAGAAUAAGCCCCGGCUAACUCCGUG
rnacentral:rRNA from 1 species